GAUUAUAGUAGGAUGCUUGCAUUAGUUUCACAAAGAUGACGCAUUGCAUAAUACGAUGUGUAUGAGGCUGUGGAUAGACCAAGGCGACUCCAAUAGCCCAAGCUCUGUUAUAAGACCUGGCCGGGCCAGGCAGCCAUCUGUAGGUAAGACCUGACUAGAGCAGGCACCAGAGAUAGUAAGACCUGGCUGGGCCAGGCAGGCAGAGUUGUAAGACCUGGCCGGGCCAGGCAGAUUGAGGUUGUCAGACCUGGCUAGGCCAGGCAUCCUUUCAGUGGGAUUUUUGGUGGUCAUGUCUAUCCCUGAGAUGAUGUGCUGUAGUGCAUUCCAUGAGAUCAUGUUUUGAAAUUAUGUUUUAUAGUUCUGCUCAUUGGGCUUGUAUAGCUCAUCCCUCUCCCCUAUCCCCCAGGUUUGCAGGUUCAGAGUUCAGAGGGAGUCCAGCAGGGUUUGCAAGAAGAAGAGUU
rnacentral:lncRNA from 1 species